UACAGAGGCCUCGAGCGUUGUUCGGAAUUACUGGGCGUAAAGGGAAUGUAGGUGGUGACGUAAGUCAGAUGUGAAAGCCCUGGGCUUAACCCGGGAAGUGCAUUUGAUACUGCGUUGCUUGAGUAUGAGAGAGGAAAGCGGAAUUCCCAGUGUAGGAGUGAAAUCCGUAGAUAUUGGGAGGAAUACCGAUGGCGAAGGCAGCUUUCUGGCUCGUAACUGACACUGAGAUUCGAAAGCGUGGGUAGCAAACAGG
rnacentral:rRNA from 1 species